UACAGAGGUCUCAAGCGUUGUUCGGAAUCACUGGGCGUAAAGGGUGCGUAGGCUGCACGGUAAGUCAGAGGUGAAAUCCCGGAGCUCAACUUCGGAAUUGCCUCCGAUACUGCCGUGCUUGAGGACUGGAGAGGAGAUUGGAAUUCACAGUGGAGCAGUGAAAUGCGUAGAUAUUGUGAGGAACACUAGUGGCGACGGCGAAUCUCUGGACAGUUCCUGACGCUGAGGCACGAAGGCCAGGGGAGCAAACGGG
rnacentral:rRNA from 1 species